rnacentral:sRNA from 20 species
UGAAAACGUUUUAAAAUAAAGACGUUCUUGAAUUUCGUUUUUUGAAAAAGAAUUGCCAAAAUUAAUUUUGGAAGGAGAUUAUUCUUCUUCAAGUUAACGAAAAAAAUAUUAAAGGAGGAAGAACAAGA